rnacentral:rRNA from 1 species
GUGGGGAAUCUUGCGCAAUGGGCGAAAGCCUGACGCAGCCAUGCCGCGUGAAUGAUGAAGGUCUUAGGAUUGUAAAAUUCUUUCACCGGGGACGAUAAUGACGGUACCCGGAGAAGAAGCCCCGGCUAACUUCGUGCCAGCAGCCGCGGUAAUACGAAGGGGGCUAGCGUUGCUCGGAAUUACUGGGCGUAAAGGGCGCGUAGGCGGACAGUUUAGUCAGAGGUGAAAGCCCAGGGCUCAACCUUGGAAUUGCCUUUGAUACUGGAUGUCUUGAGUACGGGAGAGGUGAGUGGAACUCCGAGUGUAGAGGUGAAAUUCGUAGAUAUUCGGAAGAACACCAGUGGCGAAGGCGACUCACUGGCCCGUUACUGACGCUGAGGCGCGAAAGCGUGGGGAGCAAACAGGAUUAGAUACCCUUGUAGUCC